rnacentral:rRNA from 1 species
GAUGAACGCUGGCGGCGUGCUUAACACAUGCAAGUCGAACGGAAAGGCUCCUGCUUGCAGGGGUACUCGAGUGGCGAACGGGUGAGUAACACGUGGGCGAUCUGCCCUGCACUUCGGGAUAAGCCUGGGAAACUGGGUCUAAUACCGGAUAGGACGAUGGUUUGGAUGCCAUUGUGGAAAGUUUUUCGGUGUGGGAUGAGCUCGCGGCCUAUCAGCUUGUUGGUGGGGUAAUGGCCUACCAAGGCGUCGACGGGUAGCCGGCCUGAGAGGGUGUACGGCCACAUUGGGACUGAGAUACGGCCCAGACUCCUACGGGAGGCAGCAGUGGGGAAUAUUGCACAAUGGGCGCAAGCCUGAUGCAGCGACGCCGCGUGGGGGAUGACGGCCUUCGGGUUGUAAACUCCUUUCGCUAGGGACGAAGCGCAAGUGACGGUACCUGGAGAAGAAGCACCGGCUAACUACGUG